rnacentral:rRNA from 1 species
AACGAACGCUGGCGGCAGGCUUAACACAUGCAAGUCGAACGCCCCGCAAGGGGAGUGGCAGACGGGUGAGUAACGCGUGGGAAUCUACCCAGUUCUACGGAACAACACAGGGAAACUUGUGCUAAUACCGUAUACGCCCUAAGGGGGAAAGAUUUAUCGGAAUUGGAUGAGCCCGCGUUGGAUUAGCUAGUUGGUGGGGUAAUGGCCUACCAAGGCGACGAUCCAUAGCUGGUCUGAGAGGAUGAUCAGCCGCACUGGGACUGAGACACGGCCCAGACUCCUACGGGAGGCAGCAGUGGGGAAUAUUGGACAAUGGGCGCAAGCCUGAUCCAGCCAUGCCGCGUGAGUGAUGAAGGCCUUAGGGUUGUAAAGCUCUUUCAGUAGGGACGAUAAUGACGGUACCUACAGAAGAAGCCCCGGCUAACUGCGGGCCAGCCGCCGCCGUAACAC